UCUUACAAUUAAUGUCUGCUAGACUGUUUGAGGUGUCACACUUCACAUUCAAAAUUUUAUGAAAAUCUCAUUGUUGUUUUAUAAAAAAUAAUGUCACAUAUUAUGCAAAAAAGUUGCAGUCUGCAGCGUAUGCUCUUUUUGUUUUGUAUAUUCCUGUUGGGCCUUUCGUACUGUCAAGCUGCUGUGAAUAAAUAUUCAAAAGAGGCGAAUCAACCAGAACCUGUUGAAGGCGUUGACAAGGAUUCUUGGAAAACUAUUGACAAACCUUUUCGCCUCGCUAAAAUUAACUUGAUUUGGGCUAAAGCUCAGAAGAGGCUGACAGAGUUUAAGCUGAAAAGUCUUUACAGUGAACUUAAAGUGCAAGAUAAGGAAGAAUUGCAGCUCAAGCGGUUGAAGGCUGAUAACUUGGAUAAGGAUGGUCUCAAAGAAGCUGAAAUAAGACAGAAGUUUGGCAAUGUCAUUGAACGUUAUGGGUUGGCUGAUCACUUUGAGAAAGAUACCGAAUCAAACCAAGCUGACAGUACGACCAACAGCCAUAGCAUUUUCAAAGAUAAAAAGCUGAAUAAACUGUGGUUAAAAGCUGAAAGUGCUGGAUUUACAGAACCUGAAUUGAAAAUGCUCAAGGAUGAAUUUGCUCACCACCAGGAAAAGGUGCUACAGUAUUAUAGCCUCUUGGAAGAGCACAACAGCAGGAAACUAAGAGAAGACACAGAUGCCUUUGUGAAUGAAGCCUUUAUGGACACACUUCAGGAUUUGGGAGAUAAAAUUGAGCCAAAUUUGGAAAAUUCGGCUGUUGAAGGAGUGAGGAGUACUCAUCGCGAGCUAAAAUAUGGCUACGACCGCCUUGAACGCAUGACCCUUUUGGGACCUAAAAGCCGUGAUUUUGAAGAGCCCAAAGUUCAGGGACUGUGGAAAAUCGCUCUCAACGGCGACUUUACCUCUGAGGAAUUGGAAUCUCUCCGCACGGAGCUGCGCCACUACGAGCAGAGAUUGCAAAAGCUGCGCUUUAUCCAGGCCCAGCACUCUCUCCAACAAGCCAAGACCGAAUUAGGCAACAAAAGUGAAUUUCAAGACGCAAAUGAGCUUCGCCAGAGGAUUAAAUUGCAGUCGCGCAAAGUGGAAAAGUUGCACGCCGACCUAGAAGCUCGAAUCACGCAACGGCACCUCGAGCUGUGAAGAAAUCUCGACCAGCUGGGCCGGUCAGCAGCAGCAGCAGCAGCUUAUUUUGGUUUUCAUCUCGAUAAGUUAUUAUCAUUCUAACGGCUGUUUUCUAGACGCUUAUAGGCUUCUCUCUACAAGGAACAAGCGCCAUCCAAUAACGAAUAGAAAUGUAUUUACAUUGAUGAUAUAUCCCGCAAAUAAUA